CAUUGCCUACGGGAGGCAGCAGUGAGGAAUAUUGGUCAAUGGCCGAGAGGCUGAACCAGCCAAGUAGCGUGCAGGAUGACGGCCCUCCGGGUUGUAAACUGCUUUUAGUUGGGAAUAAAAGGGGGCUCGUGAGCCCCGUAUUGUAUGUACCAUCAGAAAAAGGACCGGCUAAUUCCGUGCCAGCAGCCGCGGUAAUACGGAAGGUCCGGGCGUUAUCCGGAUUUAUUGGGUUUAAAGGGAGCGUAGGCCGGCUUUUAAGUCAGCUGUGAAAGUCCGCGGCUCAACCGUGGAAUUGCAGUUGAAAC
rnacentral:rRNA from 1 species